ACGAACUCUGGUAUUGAUUGGUGCUUGCAUCAUGAUUUACAUUUGAGUGAGUGGCGAACUGGUGAGUAACACGUGGGAAACCUGCCCAGAAGCGGGGGAUAACACCUGGAAACAGAUGCUAAUACCGCAUAACAACUUGGACCGCAUGGUCCGAGUUUGAAAGAUGGCUUCGGCUAUCACUUUUGGAUGGUCCCGCGGCGUAUUAGCUAGAUGGUGGGGUAACGGCUCACCAUGGCAAUGAUACGUAGCCGACCUGAGAGGGUAAUCGGCCACAUUGGGACUGAGACACGGCCCAAACUCCUACGGGAGGCAGCAGUAGGGAAUCUUCCACAAUGGACGAAAGUCUGAUGGAGCAACGCCGCGUGAGUGAAGAAGGGUUUCGGCUCGUAAAACUCUGUUGUUAAAGAAGAACAUAUCUGAGAGUAACUGUUCAGGUAUUGACGGUAUUUAACCAGAAAGCCACGGCUAACUACGUGCCAGCAGCCGCGGUAAUACGUAGGUGGCAAGCGUUGUCCGGAUUUAUUGGGCGUAAAGCGAGCGCAGGCGGUUUUUUAAGUCUGAUGUGAAAGCCUUCGGCUCAACCGAAGAAGUGCAUCGGAAACUGGGAAACUUGAGUGCAGAAGAGGACAGUGGAACUCCAUGUGUAGCGGUGAAAUGCGUAGAUAUAUGGAAGAACACCAGUGGCGAAGGCGGCUGUCUGGUCUGUAACUGACGCUGAGGCUCGAAAGUAUGGGUAGCAAACAGGAUUAGAUACCCUGGUAGUCCAUACCGUAAACGAUGAAUGCUAAGUGUUGGAGGGUUUCCGCCCUUCAGUGCUGCAGCUAACGCAUUAAGCAUUCCGCCUGGGGAGUACGGCCGCAAGGCUGAAACUCAAAGGAAUUGACGGGGGCCCGCACAAGCGGUGGAGCAUGUGGUUUAAUUCGAAGCUACGCGAAGAACCUUACCAGGUCUUGACAUACUAUGCAAAUCUAAGAGAUUAGACGUUCCCUUCGGGGACAUGGAUACAGGUGGUGCAUGGUUGUCGUCAGCUCGUGUCGUGAGAUGUUGGGUUAAGUCCCGCAACGAGCGCAACCCUUAUUAUCAGUUGCCAGCAUUAAGUUGGGCACUCUGGUGAGACUGCCGGUGACAAACCGGAGGAAGGUGGGGAUGACGUCAAAUCAUCAUGCCCCUUAUGACCUGGGCUACACACGUGCUACAAUGGAUGGUACAACGAGUUGCGAACUCGCGAGAGUAAGCUAAUCUCUUAAAGCCAUUCUCAGUUCGGAUUGUAGGCUGCAACUCGCCUACAUGAAGUCGGAAUCGCUAGUAAUCGCGGAUCAGCAUGCCGCGGUGAAUACGUUCCCGGGCCUUGUACACACCGCCCGUCACACCAUGAGAGUUUGUAACACCCAAAGUCGGUGGGGUAACCUUUUAGGAACCAGCCGCCUAA
rnacentral:rRNA from 1 species